GUUUUUUUUUUUUUUUUUUAAUAUACCAAUUUGAAAACCAAAUGAAUUUGAUAGAGCCAAAAUUGAGACAAAAUCUCAGCAAAUCUGUAAGCAGUUUGUAUGUUUAGUUGGGGUAAUGAAGUAUUUCAGUUUUGUGAAUAGAUGACCUGUUUUUACUUCCUCAUCCUGAAUUAGUUUUCUAAAUGUGGAGUUUGGUGUGUAACUGAGGGGGGGAAUUUUAAGUAUUUUUUUUGUGGGGUGGGGCAAAAUAUGUUUUGAGUUCUUUUCCCCAUAGGUCUGACUAGAAUCCUAAAGGCAAAUGACUCAAGGUGUUACAGAAAACAAGAAAAUCCAAUAUCAGGAUAAUCAGAACACCACACAGGUUUACCGUUUAUAGAAACUAGAGCAGUUCUCACGUUAAGGUCUGUGGAGGAGAUGUCUAUUGGAGAAAUGGCUGGUAGUUACUCUUUUUUCCCCCCUCCCUCCUUAAUAAGACUUUAACCCCUUAAACUUGUUACUUUUUACUUGAAGUAUUUUGGGAUGGUCUUAACAGGGAAGAGAGAGGGUGGGGGAGAAAAUGUUUUUUUCUAAGACUUUCCGCAGAUGCUAUAGUACUAUUGACAAACUGGGUUAGAGAAGGAGUGUACCGCUGUACUGUUGGCACGAACACCUUCAGGGACUGGAGCUGCUUUUAUCCUUGGAAGAGUAUUCCCAGUUGAAGCUGAAAAAUACAGCACAGUGCAGCUUUGGUUCAUAUUCAGUCAUCUCAGGAGAACUUCAGAAGAGCUUGAGUAGGCCAAAUGUUGAAGUUAAGUUUUCAAAUAAUGUGACUUCUUAAAAGUUUUAUUAAAGGGGAGGGGCAAAUACUGGCAAUUAGUUGGCAGUGGCCUGUUAUGGUUGGGAUUGGGGGGGUGGGUUUAGGUAAUUGUUUAGUUUAUGAUUGCAGAUAAACUCAUGCCAGAGAACUUAAAGUCUUAGAAUGGAAAAGGUAAAGAAAUCUCAACUUCCAAGUUGGCAAGUAACUCCCAAUCCUUUAGUUUGUUUCCCCCAAUUUUUGAAUUGGGAAGCUGGGGGAAGUUAAAUAGGAGCCACUGGGUGUACCAGUGCAUUAAUUUGGGCAAGGAAAUUAUCAUAAUUUGAUACUGUAUCUGUUUUCCCUCAAAGUAUAGAGCUUGGGGAAGGAAAGUAUUGGAAUGGGGGUUGGUCUGAAGCACUGGGCUGACAUUAGCUACAAUUAUGGGAAAUGCUAAAGUUGUUUGGAUAUGGUAGUGUGUGGUUCUCUUUUGGAAUUUUUUUCAGGUGGUUUAAUAAUAACUUAAAACUACUAUAGAAACUUCAGAGCAAAGGAAGUGGCUUAAUGAUCCUGAAGGGAUUUCUUCUGAUGGUAGCUUUUGUAUUAUCAAGUAAGAUUCUAUUUUCAGUUGUGUGUAAGCAAGUUUUUUUUAGCGUAGGAGAAAUAUUUUUCCGUUGUUCAGCUGCAAAACAAGAUGUUAAGACUUUUUUCAGAUAACAUCUUCUGAGUCAUAACCAGCCUGGCAGUAUGAUGGCCUAGAUGCAGAGAGAACAGCUCCUUGGUGAAUGAUAAGUAAAGGCAGAAAAGAUUAUAUGUCAUACCUCCACUGGGGAAUAAGCAUAACCCUCAGAUUCUUACUACUGAUGAGAACAUUAUCUGCGUAUGCCAAAAAAAAAUUUAAGCAAAUGAAAGCUACCAAUUUAAAGUUACGGAAAUCUACCAUUUUAAAGCUAAGUGCUUGUCAAGCUAUAACCACAAAAAUAAUGAAUUGAUGAGAAAUACAAUGAAGAGCCAAUGUCCAUCUCAAAAUACUGCUUUUACAAAAGCAGAAUAAAAGCGAAAUGAAAUGAAAAUCUUACACUACAUUAAUCCUGGAAUGAAAGAAGCCGAAAUAAAUGAAAGAUGAGUUGGGAUCAAGUGGAUUGAGGAGGCUGUGCUGUGUGCCAAUCUUUCGUUUGCCUCAGACAGGUAUCUCUUCGUUAUCAGAAGAGUUGCUUCAUUUCAUCUGGGAGCAGAAAACAGCAGGCAGCUGUUAACAGAUAAGUUUAACUUGCAUCUGCAGUAUUGCAUGUUAGGGAUAAGUGCUUAUUUUUAAGAGCUGUGGAGUUCUUAAAUAUCAACCAUGGCACUUUUUCCUGACCCCUUCCCUAGGGGAUUUCAGGAUUGAGAAAUGUUCCCAUCGAGCCUCUUUAAAAUUAUAUAGGACUUGUUCCUGUGGGCUUCCUUGAUGGGAUAGUACACUUCACUCAGAGGCAUUUGCAUCUUUAAUUUCUUAAAAGCCUCUAAUGUGAUUAGUGCCUUAUGCAAAAUUACAGAAAUUUGUUUAGCAUUGAAUCUCUGAAGACUGAAAGGAAUAGCAUGAUGUGCUGUUGGAAUCAGAUGUUAUUCUUGCUAAAAUUUACAUGUUGUGUUGUGAUGUAAAUUGUGUAGAAAACCAUUAAAUCAUUCAAAAUAAUAAACUAUUACUAUUAGAGAAUGUAUACUUUUAGAAAGCUGUCUCCUUAUUUAAAUAAAAUACUGUUUGUAGUUUAGUGUUGGGGCAAUCUUGGGGGGGAUUCUUCUCUAAUCUUUCAGAAACUUUGUCUGCGAACACUCUUUAAUGGACAAGAUCAGGAUUUGAGCGGAAGAACGAAUGUAACUUUCUUAAGGCAGGAAAGACAAAUUUUAUUCUUCAUAAAGUGAUGAGCAUAUAAUAAUUCCAGGCACAUGGCAAUAGAGGCCCUCUAAAUAAGGAAUAAAUAACCUCUUAGACAGGUGGGAGAUAAUGAUCAGAGUAAAAGGUAAUUACACAUUUUAUUUCCAGAAAGUCAAGGGUCUAUAAAUUGACAGUGACUAGAGUUAAUAAAGUACUUUUUCACAUUUCCAAAGUUUGCAUGUUAACUUUAAAUGCUUACAAUCUUAGAGUGGUAGGCAAUGUUUUACACUAUUGACCUUAUGUAGGCAUUGUGGGGGGACCUGUGGGUUUUUAAAGAAUUUUCCUUUGCAGAGGCAUUUCAUCCUUCAUGAAGCUGUUCAGGAUUUUGAAUUGCAUAUGAGUGCUUGGCUCUUCCUUCUGUUCUCCUAGUGAGUGUAUGAGACCUUGCAGUGAGUUUAUCAGCAUACUCAAAAUUUUUUUCCUGGAAUUUGGAGGGAUGGGAGGAGCGGGUGGGGCUUACUUGUUUUAGCUUUUUUUUUUACAGACUUCACAGAGAAUGCAGUUGUCUUGACUUCAGGUCUGUCUGUUCUGUUGGCAAGUAAUAAUGCAGUACUGUUCUGAUCCCGCUGCUAUUAGAAUGCAUUGUGAAACGACUGGAGUAUGAUUAAAAGUUGUGUUCCCCAAUGCUUGGAGUAGUGAUUGUUGAAGGAAAAAAUCCAGCUGAGUGAUAAAGGCUGAGUGUUGAGGAAAUUUCUGCAGUUUUAAGCAGUCGUGUUUGUGAUUGAAGCUAAGUACAUUUUGCCGUGCAUUUUUAGGUAAAAUGCUUUUUGUUCAUUUCUGGUGGUGGGGGGUGGGGACUGAAGCCUUUAGUCUUUUCCAGAUGCAACCUUAAAAUCAGUGACAAGAAACAAAUUCCAAACAAGCAACAGUCUUCAAGAAAUUUAACUGGCAAGUGGAAAUGUUUAACAGUUCAGUGAUCUUUAGUGCAUUGUUUUUGUGUGGGUUUCUCUCUCCCCUCCCUUGGUCUUAAUUCUUACAUGCAGGAACACUCAGAACAGCAAACAUAACCUAUGCGAAGGGCCAGAGAAGCCAGACCCAGUAAGAAAAAAUAGUCUAUUUACUUUAAAUAAACCAAACAUUCCAUUUUAAAUGUGGGGAUUGGGAACCACUAGUUCUUUCAGAUGGUAUUCUUCAGACUAUAGAAGGAGCUUCCAGUUGUGAAUUCACCAGUGGACAAAAUGAGGACAACAGGUGAACAAGCUUUUUCUGUAUUUACAUACAAAGUCAGAUCAGUUUUGGGACAAUAGUAUUGAAUAGAAUUCAGCUUUAUGCUGGAGUAAUUGGCAUGUGAGCAAGCUGUGUUGUCGUGGGGGUGGAGGGGUGAGGUGGGCGCUAAGCCUUUUUUUUAAGAUUUUUCAGGUACCCCUCACUAAAGGCACCGAAGGCUUAAAGUAGGACAACCAUGGAGCCUUCCUGUGGCAAGAGAGACAACAAAGCGCUAUUAUCCUAAGGUCAAGAAAAGUGGUGUCAGCCUCACCUGAUUUUUAUUAGUAAUGAGGACUUGCCUCAACUCUUUCUGGAGUGAAGCAUCCAAAGGAAUGCUUGAAGUACCCCUGGGCUUCUCUUAACAUUUAAGCAAGCUGUUUUUAUAGCAGCUCUUAAUAAAGCCCAAAUCUCAAGCGGUGCUUGAAGGGGAGGGAAAGGGGGAAAGCGGGCAACCAGUUUUCCCUAGCUUUUCCAGAAGCCUGUUAAAAGCAAGGUCUCCCCACAAGCAACUUCUCUGCCACAUCGCCACCUGUGCCUUUUGAUCUAGCACAGACCCUUCACCCCUCACCUCGAUGCAGCCGGUAGCUUGGAUCCUUGUGGGCAUGAUCCAUAAUCGGUUUCAAGGUAACAAUGGUGCCGAGGUCUUUGGUGGGUUGCACUUUAUUAGAAAAGGCCAUUAAUUUGCCUGCAAAUUGUUAACAGAAGGAUAUUAAAACCACAGCUAAGUAGCUCUAUAUAACACCUGUCCAGUGACUAAAACCAACUUAAAACUGUAAGUGGAGAAAUAACAUCAAGAACUGUAAUGCUGGGUGGGAACAUGUAACUUGUAGACUGGAGAAGAUAGGUAUUUGAGUGGCUGAGAGGGCUGUUGGGUGGGAAUGCAAAAAUUCUCUGCUAAGACUCUUUCAGGUGAACAUAACAGACUUGGCCAAGCUAGCAUCUUAGCGGAACCUGAUCUCCAAUGCUCUUCAGUAGGGUCAUGAAGGUUUUUCUUUUCCUGAGAAAACAACACGUUUUGUUUUCUCAGGUUUUGCUUUUUGGCCUUUUUCUAGCUUUAAAAAAAAAAAA
ensembl:lncRNA